GACGAACGCUGGCGGCGUGCUUAACACAUGCAAGUCGAACGGUAAGGCCCUUGGGGGUACACGAGUGGCGAACGGGUGAGUAACACGUGGGUGAUCUGCCCUGCACUUCGGGAUAAGCCUGGGAAACUGGGUCUAAUACCGGAUAGGACCACUGCCUGCAUGGGUGGUGGUGGAAAGCUUUUGCGGUGUGGGAUGGGCCCGCGGCCUAUCAGCUUGUUGGUGGGGUGGUGGCCUACCAAGGCGACGACGGGUAGCCGGCCUGAGAGGGUGACCGGCCACACUGGGACUGAGAUACGGCCCAGGCUCCUACGGGAGGCAGAAGUGGGGAAUAGUGCACAAUGGGCGCAAGCCUGAUGCAGCGGCGCCGCGUGAGGGAUGACGGCCUUCGGGUUGUAAACCUCUUUCAGCACCGACGAAGCGCAAGUGACGGUAGGUGCAGAAGAAGGACCGGCCAACUACGUGCCAGCCGCCGCGGUAA
rnacentral:rRNA from 1 species